GUAAAGUACUUUCAGUCAGUGAGGAAGGUGGGUAUGUUAAUAGCAUAUUCAUUUUGACGUUUAGCUGCAGAAGAAGCACCGGCUAACUCCGUGCCAGCAGCCGCGGUAAUACGGAGGGUGCGAGCGUUAAUCGGAAUUACUGGGCGUAAAGCGCAUGCAGGUGGUUUGUUAAGUCAGAUGUGAAAGCCCGGGGCUCAACCUCGGAAUUGCAUUUGAAACUGGCAAACUAGAGUACUAUAGAGGGGGUAGAAUUUCAGGUGUAGCGGUGAAAUGCGUAGAGAUCUGAAGGAAUACCGGUGGCGAAGGCGGCCCCCUGGACAGAUACUGACACUCAGAUGCGAAAGCGUGGGGAGCAAACAGGAUUAGAUACCCUGGUAG
rnacentral:rRNA from 1 species